UACGUAGGGUGCGAGCGUUAAUCGGAAUACUGGGCGUAAAGCGUGCGCAGGCGGUUUUGUAAGUCUGUCGUGAAAGCCCCGGGCUUAACCUGGGAAUUGCGAUGGAGACUGCAAGGCUUGAAUCUGGCAGAGGGGGGGUAGAAUUCCACGUGUAGCAGUGAAAUGCGUAGAGAUGUGGAGGAACACCGAUGGCGAAGGCAGCCCCCCCUGGGUCAAGAUUGACGCUCAUGCACGAAAGCGUGGGGAGCAAACAGG
rnacentral:rRNA from 1 species